rnacentral:lncRNA from 1 species
GCUUCGUGGAAGGAACAGUUGAGAGCUCGAAUCUCCAGCCACAAGCAGGAGGCAGAAAGCACUAACUUAAAAUGGUGUGAUGCUUUUGAAAGCUCAAAGUCCAUCACUAGUGACAUAUUUCCUCCAGCAGGGCCGUGCCUCCUAAUCUUCUCGAAAUAGCCACCAACUGGGGACCACGUAUUUAAAUGCCUAAGCCUUAUGGGGGACAUCUCAUCCAAAUCACCACAGGACCUUUUGUGCAUUAUUAUGGAACUCGCCAGCAAGCCUUGGGUACACAUGUCUCCACAUACCCAGUGUAGAAUUACAAACUUGCACCACCUCCCUUGCUUGUGUGUGUGUGUGUAGUUUUGUUUUUUAUUUCUUUUUAACAUGGGUCCUGGGUAUUGACCUCAGGUCCUUGUACUUGUAAGGCAAAUAUGCUAGUGACUGAGCUACCUCCUCAGCCCUUUAUAGACUCUUUUAUUUUAGCAAAAGAUAUAGAUUAAAGGGGAAAUUUAAAAUAUUUAUUCAUUAUGAAGAUGAUGAUGAUGUGUAUGUGUGUAUGUGUGCACACAAGCCAUCCUGUGCAUGUAGAGGACAGAGGACAACUUUGUACAGCUGUUCUUUCUUUCCACUUAUGUGGGUUUCAGGUACUGAAUUCAGGUCACCAGGAAUGUGCGGCAAGUGUCUGUACCUGAUGAAUUGAGCAUGCCUGCUGUGGUAUUUAAAUAGACUGGGUCCCCGUAGACUCCAACGUUUGACUGUUUGGCGGUAGGGAGUGGCCCUAUUAGGAUGUGUGGCCUUGUUGGAAGAUGUGCUUCCCUGUGGAGGCAGUUUUGGGGUCUCAUAUGUGGUCAAGCUACACCCAGUGUGACACACAGUCUUCUGCUGCUGCCUGUGUAUCUGUAAAUUAAAUGAUUAUUAUGUUCUGUGUAUAUCAAUCAAUCCUGGGAAUUAAAACAGGGGUAACCAUCCCCUAAGUGGCUAGUUUUCAAAAUAACUGUGCAGAAACCUUCUAAUAUUUCAAAACUUAGGUCUUAGCUGGGCAGACUCUCAGCUAGACCAUCUAAGUUAACCUGGUCAUCUAGCCCCAUCAAGUCACGUGACUAGCUAUACCUUCCAGGCCCAGAGUCACAUCUCUUUCCUCUGAUGUCUCCUAGCGAAAAGGCCUUCCUUCUUCUUCCAAGAGUUCCUUUCUCCCUCCCAGGAAGUCCCACCUUCCACUUCCUGCCCACCUAAGUGGCCAUUCAAUUUUUAUUAACACCAAUAGAGAAUGCCUUAGGUAGGUGAGGAAGGACAGAGACCCAAUUUCACGCUGCAUACCCCAACACAGAUCAAAAUGUAGAACUCUCAGCUCCUUCUCCAGCACCAUGUCUGCCUGCACACUAAUAACAGACUUAACUUCUGGACCUCUAAGCCAGUCCCAAUUAAGUAUUGUCCUUUAUAAGAGUUGCUGUGGUCAUGGUGUCUCUUUAUAGCAGUAGAACCCUAAGACACCUGGUGUGUCUAGUUCAGUGUAUAAGGGAACUUGCUAGGCAAGCAUGAGGACUUGAAUUUGAAUUCCCAGCUCCUGUUUAAAAAGAUGAGCACGGGCCUGUAAGCCCACCACUAGGAGAGUGGAGUCAGGAGAGUCACCAGGACUUGCUGGAUACCAGCCUCAUUUCUGGUCACUGACAGACUAUGUCUCAGAGUAAUUGGUGCAGAGUGAGGACACCCAACAGCAUCCUGUGGUCUGGGCAAGCAUGAGCGAGUGCACUCCCCUACGCACAUGUGUCCCCCACUAAAAACACCCCAAGCGUCUCCUGCCUCCCCAUUUCCACUGUCACACCACUGUACUUGCUUGCUCUGUUCUCAGCUGACUGGUUGAGCUGCGAAGAGGUGUGGAGGGUGUGUGUGAAAGCACCAUUUGCUUCUACAAGGGGGGUGUUGUUUGCGUGCUGCUGGUGUGAUCUAGUGGGAGGCCGGCUGGGGCCAGGCAUCUGCUGAUGCUUCCUGUGUCACUGCUGCUUCCCUGGAAGGACCACUUUCCUAGGAGGCUCUUGACCCAUAUUCAAGCACCCCACCCCACUCCCACACACAAACUAUUGGGCUUGGUUUAACCUAGUUUCCUCUAAAAGUCCAUGUGCAGUUAGUUUGUUUGGGAAGUGAUUCCUGGGAGCAUGACUAUGAAGUCUAAAAAGCCAAUACUAAAAUAAAUAAAAUGCU